GGGAAGGUGGCUCAGUGGUAGAGUACUUGCCUUGCAUGCAUGAGGUCCUAGAUUCAAUUCCUCAUCACCA
rnacentral:tRNA from 1 species